UACGAAGGGGGCUAGCGUUGCUCGGAAUUACUGGGCGUAAAGCGCACGUAGGCGGCUUUCUAAGUCGGGGGUGAAAUCCUGGAGCUCAACUCCAGAACUGCCUUCGAUACUGGAGAGCUCGAGUCCGGGAGAGGUGAGUGGAACUGCGAGUGUAGAGGUGAAAUUCGUAGAUAUUCGGCAAGAACACCAGUGGCGAAAGGCGGCUCAC
rnacentral:rRNA from 1 species